GCAUAAAUUUAGUGCUGGGUUGGCAAAAGGUGGUACCAUGUAACAUUUUAACCCAUAGUACGACCCAUGCCGGCUCAGUAAUAAAUUAUAAU
rnacentral:pre_miRNA from 1 species